rnacentral:rRNA from 1 species
GGACUACAAGGGUAUCUAAUCCUGUUUGCUCCCCACGCUUUCGCUCCUCAGCGUCAGUACCGGCCCAGAGUGCCGCCUUCGCCGCCGGUGUUCCUCCCGAUAUCUGCGCAUUUCACCGCUACACCGGGAAUUCCACACUCCCCUACCGGACUCGAGCUAAAGCAGUAUCGAGCGAAGGCUCCAGGUUGAGCCUGGAGAUUUCCCACCCGACUUGCUUAGCCGCCUACGAGCUCUUUACGCCCAAUAAUUCCGGACAACGCUCGCCCCCUACGUAUUACCGCGGCUGCUGGCAC